AUAAAAAAUGCCCUGCCGAAAAUUCAGCAGGGACCUUCUAUGUCUAAAUCAGACAGAAGGCAAAGGGAGAGGAGAAACUGGAGAAAGAACUCAUUGGGGAAUAUAAGCCUUCUCCGUGA
rfam:Bacillaceae bacterium MTCC 8252 Contig12, whole genome shotgun sequence.